rnacentral:rRNA from 1 species
CGGGACACGUGGUAUCCUGUCUGAAUAUGGGGGGACCAUCCUCCAAGGCUAAAUACUCCUGACUGACCGAUAGUGAACCAGUACCGUGAGGGAAAGGCGAAAAGAACCCCGGCGAGGGGAGUGAAAAAGAACCUGAAACCGUGUACGUACAAGCAGUGGGAGCACGCUUAGGCGUGUGACUGCGUACCUUUUGUAUAAUGGGUCAGCGACUUAUAUUCUGUAGCAAGGUUAACCGAAUAGGGGAGCCGAAGGGAAACCGAGUCUUAACUGGGCGUUAAGUUGCAGGGUAUAGACCCGAAACCCGGUGAUCUAGCCAUGGGCAGGUUGAAGGUUGGGUAACACUAACUGGAGGACCGAACCGACUAAUGUUGAAAAAUUAGCGGAUGACUUGUGGCUGGGGGUGAAAGGCCAAUCAAACCGGGAGAUAGCUGGUUCUCCCCGAAAGCUAUUUAGGUAGCGCCUCGUGAAUUCAUCUCCGGGGGUAGAGCACUGUUUCGGCAAGGGGGUCAUCCCGACUUACCAACCCGAUGCAAACUGCGAAUACCGGAGAAUGUUAUCACGGGAGACACACGGCGGGUGCUAACGUCCGUCGUGAAGAGGGAAACAACCCAGACCGCCAGCUAAGGUCCCAAAGUCAUGGUUAAGUGGGAAACGAUGUGGGAAGGCCCAGACAGCCAGGAUGUUGGCUUAGAAGCAGCCAUCAUUUAAAGAAAGCGUAAUAGCUCACUGGUCGAGUCGGCCUGCGCGGAAGAUGUAACGGGGCUAAACCAUGCACCGAAGCUGCGGCAGCGACGCUGAUGCGUUGUUGGGUAGGGGAGCGUUCUGUAAGCCUGUGAAGGUGUGCUGUGAGGCAUGCUGGAGGUAUCAGAAGUGCGAAUGCUGACAUAAGUAACGAUAAAGCGGGUGAAAAGCCCGCUCGCCGGAAGACCAAGGGUUCCUGUCCAACGUUAAUCGGGGCAGGGUGAGUCGACCCCUAAGGCGAGGCCGAAAGGCGUAGUCGAUGGGAAACAGGUUAAUAUUCCUGUACUUGGUGUUACUGCGAAGGGGGGACGGAGAAGGCUAUGUUGGCCGGGCGACGGUUGUCCCGGUUUAAGCGUGUAGGCUGGUUUUCCAGGCAAAUCCGGAAAAUCAAGGCUGAGGCGUGAUGACGAGGCACUACGGUGCUGAAGCAACAAAUGCCCUGCUUCCAGGAAAAGCCUCUAAGCAUCAGGUAACAUCAAAUCGUACCCCAAACCGACACAGGUGGUCAGGUAGAGAAUACCAAGGCGCUUGAGAGAACUCGGGUGAAGGAACUAGGCAAAAUGGUGCCGUAACUUCGGGAGAAGGCACGCUGAUAUGUAGGUGAAGUCCCUCGCGGAUGGAGCUGAAAUCAGUCGAAGAUACCAGCUGGCUGCAACUGUUUAUUAAAAACACAGCACUGUGCAAACACGAAAGUGGACGUAUACGGUGUGACGCCUGCCCGGUGCCGGAAGGUUAAUUGAUGGGGUCAGCGCAAGCGAAGCUCUUGAUCGAAGCCCCGGUAAACGGCGGCCGUAACUAUAACGGUCCUAAGGUAGCGAAAUUCCUUGUCGGGUAAGUUCCGACCUGCACGAAUGGCGUAAUGAUGGCCAGGCUGUCUCCACCCGAGACUCAGUGAAAUUGAACUCGCUGUGAAGAUGCAGUGUACCCGCGGCAAGACGGAAAGACCCCGUGAACCUUUACUAUAGCUUGACACUGAACAUUGAGCCUUGAUGUGUAGGAUAGGUGGGAGGCUUUGAAGUGUGGACGCCAGUCUGCAUGGAGCCGGCCUUGAAAUACCACCCUUUAAUGUUUGAUGUUCUAACGUUGACCCGUGAUCCGGGUUGCGGACAGUGUCUGGUGGGUAGUUUGACUGGGGCGGUCUCCUCCUAAAGAGUAACGGAGGAGCACGAAGGUUGGCUAAUCCUGGUCGGACAUCAGGAGGUUAGUGCAAUGGCAUAAGCCAGCUUGACUGCGAGCGUGACGGCGCGAGCAGGUGCGAAAGCAGGUCAUAGUGAUCCGGUGGUUCUGAAUGGAAGGGCCAUCGCUCAACGGAUAAAAGGUACUCCGGGGAUAACAGGCUGAUACCGCCCAAGAGUUCAUAUCGACGGCGGUGUUUGGCACCUCGAUGUCGGCUCAUCACAUCCUGGGGCUGAAGUAGGUCCCAAGGGUAUGGCUGUUCGCCAUUUAAAGUGGUACGCGAGCUGGGUUUAGAACGUCGUGAGACAGUUCGGUCCCUAUCUGCCGUGGGCGCUGGAGAACUGAGGGGGGCUGCUCCUAGUACGAGAGGACCGGAGUGGACGCAUCACUGGUGUUCGGGUUGUCAUGCCAAUGGCACUGCCCGGUAGCUAAAUGCGGAAGAGAUAAGUGCUGAAAGCAUCUAAGCACGAAACUUGCCCCGAGAUGAGUUCUCCCUGACUCCUUGAGAGUCCUGAAGGAACGUUGAAGACGACGACGUUGAUAGGCCGGGUGUGUAAGCGCAGCGAUGCGUUGAGCUAACCGGUACUAAUGAACCGUGAG